AGUGUACUACCUGGGGCCUCUGGGCAUAUAAUUCCUGUGACCUCUGGGUGUGUACCCU
rnacentral:pre_miRNA from 1 species